GCGGGCUGAAAUCUCGCGAGAUGUCGGCGCGGUGCUGGAGCUCGGAGCGACCGGCGGUCCUCCGUAGCCCGGGCGGUGCUUCCCCGAGAGUAGCCGUGGGAUGCAGCGCACGGGGGAGAGACGCUCCAAAGCUUCCCAAGUCCAGGCUGUUCUCCUUCCUGCUUCCUCAGCCCAGCCACGCCGUCGUAGAGGACGGCGCCCGUAACCACGGCAACGGGCAAGUGACCCCCCCCCCCAACCCUGGGGAACCGCUGGGAGGCGGAACUCCAGGAGCCGAGGCUGCGGGGUGACCCGGCGCCCCUCCGAGACAGGCCGCGCUGCUCUCGGUGCCCUGCUCGGUGCCGAAUCCUCGGAUGCUCGGAGCGCUUUGUGGUUGCGUGCAGACCGUUGCUUCAAUCAUAAAGACUGCAGUUCUGAAUGAAUAUUUUUGGACUCCAUAAGGCUGGCUUCUGGACUUUGGGCAAGGACAGGCUAAUGAUUUAUAGUUAGUGUUAAUAUUUUUUAGGAAAUACUAGUAUGUUUAUGUGACAUUACUCAGUUCAAUAAAACCGUCAAAUAUGUGAAACAA